rnacentral:rRNA from 1 species
UACGUAGGGUGCAAGCGUUGUCCGGAAUUAUUGGGCGUAAAGGGCUCGUAGGCGGUCUGUCACGUCGGGAGUGAAAACUCGGGGCUUAACCCCGAGCCUGCUUCCGAUACGGGCAGACUAGAGGUAUGCAGGGGAGAAUGGAAUUCCUGGUGUAGCGGUGAAAUGCGCAGAUAUCAGGAGGAACACCGAUGGCGAAGGCGGCGCUCUGGGCCGGAACUGACGCUGAGGAGCGAAAGCGUGGGUAGCAAACAGG